AGGCCUCAAUUCUCAGAGCUCAGAUGACCACUUGAAUAAGAGAUCCCGAAGCUCUUCCAUGAGCUCCUUGACAGGCGCUUACACAAGUGGCAUCCCUAGCUCCAGCCGCAAUGCCAUUACCAGUUCCUACAGCUCCACUCGAGGCAUCUCACAGCUGUGGAAGAGAAAUGGCCCCAGUUCAUCACCCUUCUCUAGCCCAGCCUCAUCCCGCUCCCAGACACCGGAGAGGCCAGCAAAGAAAAUAAGAGAAGAAGAGCUGUGUCAUCAUUCCAGUUCUUCAACUCCAUUGGCAGCAGACAAGGAGUCCCAGGGAGAAAAGGGUAGGUUGCUGAGCCAGGAGGAGGGGCUGCUGUUGGUGGUGGAGGUAUUUGUGGAGGAUGUAGAGAUUAAUACCUAUUGAAAAAAGGUCUUGAGCAUUGCUAU
rnacentral:lncRNA from 10 species